GUGCAAUGCAAAUGUGGCCUUCCAGCCCUGUUGAGAACUUCCUAGACAUCAGCCAAUCCUGAGAGGCGGUUCGUUGUGUGUGCUAUGUAUGACCAAAAAAGGUUCACAUAAAUUUUUUAGUCUCCAAUAUCGGCUAUAUCAUCUCCAUUGCCUUUGUUACCUAUCAAGGGUCUGAAUCUUAUGCAACAAGCAACUUAAUUCCAAUCACAUUGCCGAUCGAAUUAACAGGUGUUCCCCGACCAAAUCAGCAAUUUUGGCUUCUCCGCUAUGCAUCCAUCCAUCUACCUUCGGGUUGUGCCGUUUAUCUCCUCCCUAAUUGCUUCUAAUGUUUGCUGGUUGUGUUUUUGUUUUGAAUAAGAGCUUUCUUCUCUUUAGAUCUGCCUUCAUAGGCGAUUUAUGGGAUGAAGGUUCGUCAGGUGUGAUGGGUUAUCUCUCACAGCCGGUUUAAAUAAAUUUUAGGAUAUUUGGCUACCAUUGUCUUAGAUCCAGUCUGCUCAAAGCAGAUUUGCUCUUUAACUAUUUUUAUACAUGGGUUAGCGGAAGAUGAAAGUCAUAGAUAUCACUUUAUUAUAAGAAUUUUGUUUGUAUCUAUGACUAUAUAACUUCAUAA